GACGAACGCUGGCGGCAUGCUUAACACAUGCAAGUCGAACGGAAAGGCCCCCUUGUGUGGUGCUCGAGUGGCUAACGGGUGAGUAACACGUGAGUAACCUACCCUUGACUUUCGGAUAACUUCAUGAAACUGGGGCUUAUACCCGAUCGGAGCUCCUACUGCAUGUUGGUGGGUGCAAAUUGAAGGCGGUUGGGGAUGGGCUCGCGGCCUAUCAGGUUGUUGAUGGGGUGGUGGCCCACCAAGGCUUUGACGGGCACCCGGCCUGAGAGGGUGACCGGGCACAUUGGGACUGAGAUACGGACAAGACUCAUACGGGAGGGAGAAGUGGGGGAUAUUGCAAUAUGAGCGGAAGCGUGAUGCAGAACCGGCGCUGGCGGGAUGAUGGUCUUGGGGUUGUAAACCGAUUUCGCCUGUGCCGAAGAGUAAGUGAAGAUAAUGGGUAAAGAAGGACCGGCUAAAUACGUG
rnacentral:rRNA from 1 species